UAACUGUACGGAAUUCUAAUGAAAGAGAUUGCUGUGCACGUUUCCCUUGGGUGUGUUUUGUCCCUAACUGAUUCCUGAGUGCUUGGAGUGCGUCAGCACUUUGAGCUUUAAAAACUCUUCCGACAUUUAUACAGAAGUCGUGAAAAACGCGCGUGUUCGUCCUUAUGGUCACGCAACUUCCCAUCGAGAAGCGGGUGUAGGCGGCUCACAGCUGGUAGGAACUAGUAGUCGUCUGUCUCUGUGACGCUCCAAGGGCAGCGUUUGAACAGUCUGAAAAAUCCGGAGGAGCUUCAACAUCCUCAGCCAUCGGUUCGGCUCCAUCAUACAAGAUGCGUGACGAGCUCGUUGAGGAACGGUGGCUCCGCUGAACUCAGGAACGGUAAAGACGAAAUCAUCGUCUGACAAUUGUGCCGCAUUACCAACUACCAAUAAAACAAAUACAGCCAAAUACCAAUGAGAACAAAUUCGUUGUUAGAAGCAGACGUUUUAUUCGGUGCAAGGCAACAGCUUCAACUGGACGUGUGAAUAGUGUUUCUGCAUAAAGAAUGUCUGGGUGAACGCGUGAAAGCGAUGGGCCUGUCAAUAUUAUACACAGCGCUCGACAUACGCCAAAGCUCGGUACUGACCUCUCGAAGUGGUUCAGACAUACAUGCCAAUAUUCUUUCUUCGUCAAAUACCCGACCAUGGUAGCGUUGCUCAAAGUAGUCCCGGAUCUUGGAACGCAGUUUCGCAUCAAAGGCUUUAUAGGACAUGUAAUCUUCAAGUUCGGCCAUCUGAAAGCAUAACGUGUGUGCAUUAAAAGGUAUGGACUAUGGCUGGCACCAUUGAUCCGGAAAGAUGAACCGCAAAGGUAAUAUAUAGCAUCAUGAGUGUAUAGCUCAGUUUGUGUGAUUUUCACUAUAAACAACCACAGAACAGACAGAAGAAACGAUCUUGUUAGCCGUUUACGGUUCCGGUGACAUGGUCGAAAUAUAGCAAGGUAAAGGUAACUAAUGAUGGGAGGGGGCAAGUGGACAUAGUAUCUUAGUAAAAAAAAUUGUUUGCCUUAAACUUCAUUUACAAUACUGUAGUAUUAAAGUUAAAGGGAACGCUCGUUUUCAGAACUUAUUGAAGUAUUCUAAACUUGAGAAGCCGAUAAUGCACUCCUUCCUACAGGAUUAUUGAAAUUACUUUACAGCAAGUUUUUGACGUAAAGAGGCGAUUCCGUUAUCGAAAUCGAAAUAUUAUAAUAUCCUAACCUAAACAGUUGGGUUUCGAAUUCUAUAAAAACGCAUAUU